UACGUAGGGUGCAAGCGUUGUCCGGAAUUAUUGGGCGUAAAGAGCUCGUAGGCGGUUUGUCGCGUCGGCUGUGAAAACCUGGGGCUCAACCCCGGGCCUGCAGCCGAUACGGGCAAACUAGAAUUCGGUAGGGGAGACUGGAAUUCCUGGUGUAGCGGUGAAAUGCGCAGAUAUCUGGAGGAAUACCGGUGGCGAAGGCGGCAUCCUGGACCGACAUUGACGCUGAGGAGCGAAAGCUAGGGGAGCAAACGGG
rnacentral:rRNA from 1 species